rnacentral:rRNA from 1 species
AUUGAACGCUAGCGGGAUGCUUUACACAUGCAAGUCGAACGAGUGGCGGACGGGUGAGUAAUAUAGCGGAACGUGCCCAGUAGCGGGGGAUAACUACUCGAAAGAGUGGCUAAUACCACAUCCUCAUGGAGCGGCCGAUGUCGGAUGAGCUAGUUGGUGGGGUAAAGGCUCACCAAGGCCACGAUCCGUAGCUGGUUUGAGAGGAAGACCAGCCACACUGGGACUGAGACACGGCCCAGACUCCUACGGGAGGCAGCAGUGGGGAAUUUUGUACAAUGGGGGAAACCCUGAUCCAGCCAUCCCGCGUGUAUGAGAAGGCCUUCGGGUUGUAAAGUACUUUUGGCAGAGAAGCGGUAUCUGCAGAAUAAGCACCGGCUAACUACGUGCCAGCAGCCGCGGUAAUAC